GAUGAACGCUGGCGGCGUGCCUAAUACAUGCAAGUCGAGCGAACAGACGAGGAGCUUGCUCCUCUGACGUUAGCGGCGGACGGGUGAGUAACACGUGGAUAACCUACCUAUAAGACUGGGAUAACUUCGGGAAACCGGAGCUAAUACCGGAUAACAUGUUGAACCGCAUGGUUCAACAGUGAAAGACGGUCUUGCUGUCACUUAUAGAUGGAUCCGCGCCGCAUUAGCUAGUUGGUAAGGUAACGGCUUACCAAGGCAACGAUGCGUAGCCGACCUGAGAGGGUGAUCGGCCACACUGGAACUGAGACACGGUCCAGACUCCUACGGGAGGCAGCAGUAGGGAAUCUUCCGCAAUGGGCGAAAGCCUGACGGAGCAACGCCGCGUGAGUGAAGAAGGUCUUCGGAUCGUAAAACUCUGUUAUUAGGGAAGAACAAAUGUGUAAGUAACUAUGCACGUCCUGACGGUACCUAAUCAGAGAGCCACGGCUAACUACGUG
rnacentral:rRNA from 1 species